UUUAUAGUAUGACAUAAUGUCUAUUUUCUCCCUCCAUUGUUGUGCUAGGAGUCCCAUUACUAGUGGACCAAUGAUGUCCAUUCCAGCAAGAAAGAUUCACUUUCACUCAAAAUGUCUCAUUUGCGUCGUCUGUCGAUCUCGUCUCACUCUGGGCCAUGGACGAACGACAGUGUUCCUCCGACACUCCCUCCCUCACUGUGCCUCCUGCUAUUCUACUGAUAAUGGUAUUAAAGCUACAACAUGCUAAAUUACAGAUCCACUUACAAAUAAAGAAAUUUAUUUCUUCAAAAAUGAAUGAUUUCUCUAUAUUUCUAACACUUUCACACUAAUUCUUAACCCUGAUGCAAUUGCCAAUACUUAUUAUAAGUAACAAUUAAUAAUUAUUAUUACUUUAUACUUAUUUAAUAUUACUUUGUGUUUUGUAUGAAUGCUAUUAGUGGUUUCAUUAAUUAACUGCAAAAAUAUCAUUCUAUACUAAAAA